rnacentral:rRNA from 1 species
GAUGAACGCUAGCGGCGGGCUUAAUACAUGCAAGUCAAGGGGUAGCAAUACACCGGCGUACGGGUGCGUAACGCGUAUGGAACCUGCCCUUAUCUGGGGGAUAACUCGGGGAAACUCGAGCUAAUACCGCAUAAGAUAGUAGAGAGGCAUCUCUUAGCUAUUAAAGAUUUAUCGGAUAAGGAUGGCCAUGCGUAAGAUUAGAUAGUUGGCGAGGUAACGGCUCACCAAGUCUACGAUCUUUAGGGGCUCUGAGAGGAGAAUCCCCCACACUGGCACUGAGAUACGGGCCAGACUCCUACGGGAGGCAGCAGUAGGGAAUAUUGGGCAAUGGGCGGAAGCCUGACCCGGCCACGCCGCGUGCAGGAAGACGGCCCUCUGGGUUGUAAACUGCUUUUAACUGGGAAGAAAGUAGUCCUUGCGAGGAAAGUUGACGGUACCAGAAGAAUAAGCACCGGCUAACUACGUGCCAGCAGCCGCGGUAAAAC